ensembl:lncRNA
AAAUGAUACCACAGUGAGACUCCGUUAUUAGCUAUGUAGACUAUAUGAUACCACAGGGAGACUCCGUUAUUAGCUAUGUAGAGUAUAUGAUACCACAUGGAGACUCCGUUAUUAGCUAUGUAGAGUAUAUGAUACCACAUGGAGACUCCGUUAUUAGCUAUGUAGAGUAUAUGAUACCACAUGGAGACUCCGUUAUUAGCUAUGUAGAGUAUAUGAUACCACAGGGAGACUCCGUUAUUAGCUAUGUAGAGUAUAUGAUACCACAGGGAGACUCCGUUAUUAGCUAUGUAGAGUAUAUGAUACCACAUGGAGACUCCGUUAUUAGCUAUGUAGAGUAUAUGAUACCACAGGGAGACUCCAUUAUUAGCUAUGUAGAGUAUAUCACCACAUGGGGAGACUCUAUUAUUAGCUAUGUAGAGUACAUGAUACCACAGGGAGACUCCGUUAUUAGCUAUGUAAAGUAAAUGAUACCACAGGGAGACUCCAUUAUUAGCUAUGUAGAGUAUAUGAUACCACCGGAGACUCCAUUAUUAGCUAUGUAAAGUAAAUUAUAUCACCGGAGACUCCAUUAUUAGCUAUGUAAAGUAAAUGAUACAACGGGAAGACUCCAUUAUUAGCUAUGUUAAGUAAAUGAUACCACGGGGAGACUCCAUUAUUAGCUAUGUAGAGUAUAUGAUACCACGGGGAAACUCCAUUAUUAGCUAUGUAAAGUAAAUGACACCACAGGGAGACUCCAUUAUUAGCUAUGUAAAGUAAAUGAUACCACGGGGAGACUCCAUUAGUUGUUAUGUAAAGUAAAUGAUACCACGGGGAGACUCCAUUAUUAGCUAUGUAAAGUAAAUGAUACCACGGGGAGACUCCAUUAUU